GUUGAGGUAGAAGUGAUGGUGUUGAGGUAGAUGUGUUGAGGUAGAAGUGAUGGUGUUGAGGUAGAAGUGAUGGUGUUGAGGUAGAAGUGAUGGUGAUGAGGUAGAUGUGUUGGUGUUGAGGUAGAUGUGAUGGUGUUGAGGUAGUGUAUAUGUAUCCAAGCUGUCUCUCUCCAGCUCACACUUCAUAAUAUCCCUGUAGGACUAAUAUCUAAACAUGGUAUACCUCUGACAUCUGUUCUGUUUACUGGUAUCUCUUUCCAUAUAUGUGUGUGUGUGUGUGUGUGUGUGUGAGAGAGAGAGAGAGACAGAGAGAGAGAGAGACACAGAGAGAGAGACACAGAGAGAGAGAGAGAGACACAGAC
rnacentral:lncRNA from 1 species